UGUAUCUCUCACUCAUCCUCUCUCUCCCAUGCUCACUGUCCACCGUGGACUCCUUGGUCUCUCCUGUUCCUAUAGCUGACUGCCGUUCUCCUAGUCAGGAGCUGUGCCUAGUGGAAUGCACCGUGCUGAGCCAGGAGCGGGUGUUAGUGCUCUCCUUCAAGGGAAUCCAAUGAGAAAAAGACAGACAUGGAAGGGUUGCAAACCAGAUAGCCAAGAAUAUUAAAGAUUAAAGGAGAUGGGAGAGAACGGCCUUGCUACUUCAAGCAACAGGAGGGCAAAUGGAGGGCAAGGAUCUUCACAGAAUAGAUUAGAAGGAAACCUCAAAAGAACCUUUGACUUGCAUCUAAAAAUCUGAAUCUGCAUAUGGAUUGCCUACUGUGCCACAGGGAAAGCAAACAUCAGAGAACAGUGCUGGGUGGUGAAGGACCUUUUAGCCAGGUCUCAGGCCCAGGGAGAAGCAAGUGCAAUCAGAGCAGCUGAGAAGACUUGGCAGCAGGGCUUUGGUGAUUGGAGAAGUGAGGCUGGGCUUCCCAGCAGAUGCUAUCACAGGAUCUCAGAGUUGCAGGGAAGUGGCCGUGUUAUCUGAUCAAGAAAAAACGCUAGGUUUGAGAAGAGGAGUAGUCAGAGCUCAGCACAUUUUUAUGCUGCGCUGAUUUUAUGGUCUCUGUCGUUGUCAUGCUGCAGCCGUAGUUAAUGAAUGAAUGAUGGCCAUGGGAAUGCUCCAGUAAAAGGUUAUUUACAAAAAUAUUCUCUAGGCCAGACUUGCCUCCUGUCUGACCUCUGGCUAAGCCAGUUUGAUUCGAAGCACAGUGAGUUUGAGGUACCUCUGGGACAUUCAUCGAGAUGUUGGACAGAAUGAGAUAAUGGCUCCAAGGAAAGAUGGGAAAUAACUGCAAGAGUCUGCAUUUUAUAUUUUAUUUGUGGCAGAGAAGUUAUUUCCAGGUAGAUGAGGCUACUUAUGAUGGAAGAGCUGAGCUGAGUCAAAAUUACCACAUUGGAAAAUUUGGGUAGUUUUAAAGUUUAAUUAUUUUAAAGUUAUCACCAUUAUUUUGAUCUGGUUCGAAAACAAAACCCCUCUGGUAUAUCUUGAACCUUGUUGCUGAUGCUAAUAGCUGGAAUCUGUUAACCAGCAACCGUGGACAUUUGUACAUUUAUUUUCUGGGUUCUUGCUGAAGGCUGAGGCCAGAGAGAGUGCAGACUCACACUAAACACACAGCUGGAAAAAGGUAGGGGAGGGGGCAGAGCCUUGGUUAGGUCAGCUUUCUACAAUAGGCCACUAAAUUGUUAUGAAAGGAUCCGUGUUUUCUAUUUGUGUUAAAGGCAUUCUGUCACAUCUCUGGGUCCCUGUUCAUGGAGCCUGAGGUUCUACCUGGGAGGAUGGCACAGCCACACAUUUCUGUCUUCUUCUUUUUAAUUUAACCAAUUUUUUAUUAGAUAUUUUCUUCAUUUACAAUUCAAAUGCUAUCCCAAAAGUCCCUUAGACCCUCCCCCUGCCCGGCUCCCCAUCCCUCCCACUCCCGCUUCCUGGCCCUGGCGUUCCCCUGUGCUGGGGCAUAUAAUCUUUGCAAGACCAAGGGCCUCUCCUCCCAAUGAUGGCCCAUUAGGAACACAGGGCCCCCAAUGGAGGCGCUAGAGUUUAUUUUAGAGAAAGUAUCCAAGGAGCUGAGGGGGUCUGUAACCCUAUAGGAGGAACAGCAAUAUGAACUAACCAGUACCCGCUGAGCUUGUGUCUCUAGCUGCAUAUGUCUUCUGUCUUUUUAUAAGCCUCCUUUUGCACUCAGAUUCGGUGAUUCCGUCUUCUAAGGUGCAAGCGGUAUCACCUAAGGUUUUCACCAUCUUUUAUUAUCUCCGCUUCUGCUGUGUAAUGCAGCAAAGUCAUUUAUAUAAAAACCAGUCAGCCAGCAUGGUUAUCUCCCACUGCAUAGACUAUUAAAAAGAUGGGCAAUUCAUCAGAUGAUAUAUGAUAUAGACUGAAACCUAAGUGUUUAUUAAAUAACCACCAACGUAUAGAAUUUCUAGCCAGCUAGAUUCCUUUAUCCUGUGCCUGCCAAGAUAUUUUUAGCAACAUGCCUAACCAUGGACAUAUUGAGUGGAUGAUGGAAAUUGCAUAGUGAUGAGAUCAGGGCAGAGCCCCAUGACAGGUAUUUAUGCUCAGAGAUGUGUUGGUGACUAAGCAGUACCCCUACUCAGAGUAGCCACCUUUUGUGUGUGACCUUUUUAGUUUCUGAUUGUGGUGUUUGUUUUUCUCCUUUUUAGAAAAUCCCUGGGAAGUUUAAGAAGCUUUUCUCUGAACUUGAGAGUUUAACGGUAAGUAAAGGGGACUUAUUCUUCAAAUUAAUUUUAGUGCUGUCUCCUUCUGGGUUCAGGAACUGUACUUGAUGAUGUCAAAGCCUAAAAUGAUUGCUUGCAUCUAAAAGUACAGCUUUGAACUGGGCAUGGUGAUAGAAUCCUAGAGCUUUGGGGAGAUGAGGUUAGAAGGUUACAAGUUCCAGGCCAGCCUGGACUAUGAAAUAAGACCCUAUCUUAAAAAUAAAUGAUACAAACAGAUGCUAAUGUGAAAGGGAGAGAUCUCAUGGAGGCCCAGCUGUGGACAAAGAACAUCAGACAGCUUAAGAAUACCGAGAGUAGACAGUCUCCCCAAGGGGAAGAGACCCUCAACUGGUUGUCCAAUGCCAAGUGACCAGCCCUAAAUUCAUAUGCAUUUAAGGGACAUUAUACAGAUAGAGCAGGUAAAAUUUAUAUAUUUAUGAAUACACACAUAAUAUAUUUUAUAUAUACAU
rnacentral:lncRNA from 1 species